GCCGAACGCUGGCGGCGUGCCUAAUACAUGCAAGUAGAACGCAGUUGCGAACGGGUGAGUAACGCGUAGGUAACUGCCUCAUAGAGCGGGAUUACUAUUGGAAACGCAAGCUAAUACCGCCUACUGUGAGAUGGAUCUGCGUUGAAUUAGCUAGUUGGUGAGGUAAAGGCUCACCAAGGCGACGUUACAGAGCCGAGCUGCGAGGGUGAUCGGCCCCACUGGGACUGGGAAACUGCCCAGACUCCUACGGGAGGCAGCAGUAGGGAAUCUGCGGCUAUGGACGGAAGUCUGACCGAGCAACGCCGCGUGAGUGAAGAAGGUGUUCGGAGCGUAUAGGUCUGUUGUUAGAGAAGCGAUAACGAACGAGAAAGGGCCGGCUAACUACGUGCCAGCAGCCGCGGUAAUUC
rnacentral:rRNA from 1 species